rnacentral:rRNA from 1 species
UGGGGAAUUUUGGACAAUGGGCGAGAGCCUGAUCCAGCAAUGCCGCGUGUGUGAAGAAGGCCUUCGGGUUGUAAAGCACUUUUGUCCGGAAAGAAAAUCCUUGGCUCUAAUACAGUCGGGGGAUGACGGUACCGGAAGAAUAAGCACCGGGCUAACUACGUGCCAGCAGCCGCGGUAAUACGUAGGGUGCAAGCGUUAAUCGGAAUUACUGGGCGUAAAGCGUGCGCAGGCGGUUUGCUAAGACCGAUGUGAAAUCCCCGGGCUCAACCUGGGAACUGCAUUGGUGACUGGCAGGCUAGAGUAUGGCAGAGGGGGGUAGAAUUCCACGUNUAGCAGUGAAAUGCGUAGAGAUGUGGAGGAAUACCGAUGGCGAAGGCAGCCCCCUGGGCAAUACUGACGCUCAUGCACGAAAGCGUGGGGGAGCAAACAGGAUUCAGAUACCCCUGGUAGUCCACGCCCUAAACGAUGUCAACUAGUUGUUGGGGAUUCAUUUCCUUAGUAACGUAGCUAACGCGUGGAAGUUGACCGCCUGGGGAGUACGGUCGCAAGAUU